GAUGAACGCUGGCGGCGUGCCUAAUACAUGCAAGUCGAGCGAACGGACGAGAAGCUUGCUUCUCUGAUGUUAGCGGCGGACGGGUGAGUAACACGUGUAUAACCUACCUAUAAGACUGGGAUAACUUCGGGAAACCGGAGCUAAUACCGGAUGAUAUUUUGAACCGCAUGGUUCAAAAGUGAAAGACGGUCUUGCUGUCACUUAUAGAUGGAUCCGCGCUGCAUUAGCUAGUUGGUAAGGUAACGGCUUACCAAGGCAACGAUGCAUAGCCGACCUGAGAGGGUGAUCGGCCACACUGGAACUGAGACACGGUCCAGACUCCUACGGGAGGCAGCAGUAGGGAAUCUUCCGCAAUGGGCGAAAGCCUGACGGAGCAACGCCGCGUGAGUGAUGAAGGUCUUCGGAUCGUAAAACUCUGUUAUUAGGGAAGAACAUAUGUGUAAGUAACUGUUCACAUCUUGACGGUACCUAAUCAGAAAGCCACGGCUAACUACGUG
rnacentral:rRNA from 1 species